rnacentral:rRNA from 1 species
AUUGAACGCUGGCGGCAGGCCUAACACAUGCAAGUCGAACGAGUGGCGGACGGGUGAGUAAUGUCUGGGAAACUGCCCGAUGGAGGGGGAUAACUACUGGAAACGGUAGCUAAUACAGCAUACCAUCGGAUGUGCCCAGAUGGGAUUAGCUAGUAGGUGGGGUAACGGCUCAACUAGGCGACGAUCCCUAGCUGGUCUGAGAGGCUGACCAGCCACACUGGAACUGAGACACGGUCCAGACUCCUACUGGAGGCAGCAGUGGGGAAUAUUGCACAAUGGGCGCAAGCCUGAUGCAGCCAUGCCGCUUGUAUGAAGAAGGCCUUCGGGUUGUAGAGUACUUUCAGCGGGGAGGCGUUACCCGCAGAAGAAGCACCGGCUAACUCCGUGCCAGCAGCCGCGGUAAUUC